rnacentral:rRNA from 1 species
CCCUUAGAUGUUCUGGGCCGCACGCGCGCUACACUGAUGCAUUCAACGAGCCUAGCCUUGACCGAGAGGUCCGGGUAAUCUUUGAAACUGCAUCGUGAUGGGGCUAGAUUAUUGCAAUUAUUAAUCUUCAACGAGGAAUGCCUAGUAAGCGUGAUUCAUCAAAUCGCGCUGAAUACGUCCCUGCCCUUUGUACACACCGCCCGUCGCUCCUACCGAUUGAGUGGUCCGGUGAGGCUUUGGGAUCUGAGCGGAAAGAGCGUUUCGCUGUUUCUGCCCGGAAAACUCAGUCGAACCUUAUCAUUUAGAGGAAGGAGAAGUCGUAACA